rnacentral:rRNA from 1 species
AGAGUUUGAUCCUGGCUCAGGACGAACGCUGGCGGCGUGCUUAACACAUGCAAGUCGAACGGAAAGGCCCUGCUUGCAGGGUACUCGAGUGGCGAACGGGUGAGUAACACGUGGGUGAUCUGCCCUGCACUUCGGGAUAAGCCUGGGAAACUGGGUCUAAUACCGGAUAGGACCAUCGUUUAGUGUCGGUGGUGGAAAGUUUUUCGGUGCAGGAUGAGCUCGCGGCCUAUCAGCUUGUUGGUGGGGUAAUGGCCUACCAAGGCGUCGGCGGGUAGCCGGCCUGAGAGGGUGGACGGCCACAUUGGGACUGAGACACGGCCCAGACUCCUACGGGAGGCAGCAGUGGGGAAUAUUGCACAAUGGGCGCAAGCCUGAUGCAGCGACGCCGCGUGGGGGAUGAAGGCCUUCGGGUUGUAAACUCCUUUCAGCCAUGACGAAGCGUAAGUGACGGUAGUGGUAGAAGAAGCACCGGCUAACUACGUGCCAGCAGCCGCGGUAAUACGUAGGGUGCGAGCGUUGUCCGGAAUUACUGGGCGUAAAGAGCUCGUAGGUGGUUUGUCGCGUCGUCUGUGAAAUUCCGGGGCUUAACUCCGGGCGUGCAGGCGAUACGGGCAUAACUUGAGUGCUGUAGGGGAGACUGGAAUUCCUGGUGUAGCGGUGAAAUGCGCAGAUAUCAGGAGGAACACCGAUGGCGAAGGCAGGUCUCUGGGCAGUAACUGACGCUGAGGAGCGAAAGCAUGGGUAGCGAACAGGAUUAGAUACCCUGGUAGUCCAUGCCGUAAACGGUGGGCGCUAGGUGUGGGGGUCUUCCACGACUUCUGUGCCGUAGCU